CUCGAACUCCUGACCUCAAGUGAUCCUCCCACCUUGGUCUCCCAAAGUGCUGGGAUUACAGGCAUGAGAAACCGUGCCUGGCCUAAGAAUGUGUGUAUUUCACAAAGUAUUUGGAGGGGUUGUGUUUGGAUGGCAACACCAUCCAGUGAAUUCAAUAAUUCAGUGCCAAUCACAGACUGAGCCAAAUAGAGGUGAAAUUUUCAAUGUGCUCAUCAUGUGGACCAUGGCUUUGCUGCUUAGUAACACCUAAAAUUUUUAUUCACUGGUCUAAACAAGUCUCUCCAGUUUGAUGUUUGCAGCUCAUGAUUAUCAGAUGUACUUUUUAUUAGUUUACACAAUAAGGGUUGCUUAAAUGAAAUAGAUUUAUUUCUCUCUUGUACAGCUCAAGUUCACAUGGCUGCUCAGAUAUUUCCAGGAUGCCAAGAUUCUUCAGUAUUAUUGCCCCAGGCCUCCCAGAUGGUUUGCCCUUGUCUACGUGGUCUAAGCCGGCUUACUACCACAGGCAUCUUACCCAGCAGGAAGGGAAACUUCUUAAAGAUGGCUUCAAAUCCUGUCAGCCCCACCUAACUACUCGUGUGAUGAUCAGAUCUGUGCAGACUUUGCCAGUUUGCACAAUUGCAACCUAGCACCAUCCAGUUUAUCCAUAGGUGGAUGAAACUGCCCAACUCGCCAUCCCGAGAAACAACAAUCAGCACCAGGAAGUUGCAGCAGUUGGCUUCAGGCUCAAAUCUCUGAAGAUCAGUGAGGAGGGAAACAGAAGGGCCUGAAUGCACGCGUGCACGCGCGCGUGCACACACACACACACACACAAACACACACACACACACACAAUCAUCAGGUCUUACUCAUUGUAGAGGAAACACAAACAGCCUCAAGAAAGGCCCUGAGAGUUAAGACGGGACACAUCUGGAGGGGAAGGUCAAGAGAGGACAUGACGCCGAAGUUGGGGAAAUAUCACCCUCUGAGCAUCAUUUUAUUAUUAAAAAAAUUUUUUAAAAUGACAGCCCUAUACAACAGCAAUAGCUUCUGAGAUUCAAGCUAUUGAAAUUCACCCAGACAGGUCCAGAUGGUCUGAAGCCCUUUCAGAAGGAAAGGCCCUGCUGUGGGGUUUAGAGACGCUACUGAUGAGAUUAACAUGCCUCCAAAGAUAUGAGAAGGAGCAGGCACCAUCUCUGUUAACACUUUGUCGCUGGAUUGUCACCCAUGGUGAGAACUGGAUGAAAUGGAGAACAAGGAGUGUUGUUAUGGUAACAGAAAGAGGAGGUCACCAUCAAGGAACCCGGAGAAGAGAACCUCUGUCCAGCAUACUGAGGAACUCCAGUUUGAGUGGCAAGUUGUUCCUGCCCCGGGCAAAAUAUCCAACUGGAUGAAGAUCUCAACUCUUUGCAUUCUAAUCUUCCAUUCUCCAAGCAAAACUUAUAAGGAAAGGCAUGUCCUGGCCAGUGGGCCAAGUAUUCCCCUCUCCACUGCAAACAGAUCAGCACAUAAAUCAAUUUUCUCAAGUUUGGACAUUCCCCCAACUCCAAUACUUCUGAGUGAACUGAUCAGAGCAAGGUUUUGAACCCAAAGAUGAAACCUGAGGCCCAGCUUCUAGGACUCAAUGACUCCAUGACCUCAGCUGUUCAUAAGGCUCCAGCUGACCUGAAGGGAUUCUGGGUCUGACUCCUGCCACCUUGAAUGCCCAGGGAGGGACUAAGGGCCCAUAGUAUAAAGCCCCCUAGGUUGCUUCAGUUAGCAAUCAGUUGUCCACUUUGUGCCUUUUCUGACCUUGCAUUGCAGCUUUCAGCAUUGGUACCAUAGAUGCCCCACCUUCGUUAGUCUGAAUUCCUGCUCACCUUUAUGGGGCACUGUACUGUCUGUGAAGCUUUUCACAUUCAUGAUCUCAUUUGACCAAAAUAACAAGCUUGAGCAGUAGGUAGUAUUACUGUCCCCAUUUCAUGAAUGAGAAAAAUGAGGCUCAGAGAAGCAAGGUGACUUAUACAUGAUCACUUACCUGUACCAAGACAUUCUUGCUUGAUUUCUAUAUGACAUGGUAGUUAUAUCCUUUAACCACUGAUCCACAAACAAUUUUUAGCCUCAUAUUCCUGUGAAAAUGUUUCUGUAUUCCAAACAUAGGUAAGUUUAUUCAUCUAUAAAUUGUAAAAUCUAUGACAAUGUUCGUAUAUUGAGUGCAUUAUAGAAGAUACAAUAAAACAUGUUUUAAACAGAUAAAAAAAAUGAAAUAAAUGAUGUUUUAAAGAUAACUCUAUUAAUUAAAAAUUAUUUUUGCUUUUGCUUCAAUUAUAAGUAAUGUUAAUUUUUAGGGAUGUGAUAGUCAAAAUGUCAGUAUUUAUGAAAAUCUUGGUUUAAUACUUUGUCAUGUAAUGAUUUUCAAGUUUGGUCCUCAAUUUAAUAUAUUUUGAUUUUUUUUUU
rnacentral:lncRNA from 1 species